rnacentral:rRNA from 1 species
UGCGAUAAGCGCCGGUAAGGUGAUAUGAACCGUUAUAACCGGCGAUACCCGAAUGGGGAAACCCAGUGUGACUCGUCACACUAUCAUUAACUGAAUCCAUAGGUUAAUGAGGCGAACCGGGGGAACUGAAACAUCUAAGUACCCCGAGGAAAAGAAAUCAACCGAGAUUCCCCCAGUAGCGGCGAGCGAACGGGGAGGAGCCCAGAGCCUGAAUCAGCAUGUGUGUUAGUGGAAGCGUCUGGAAAGGCGCGCGAUACAGGGUGACAGCCCCGUACACAAAAGCGCAUGUGCUGUGAGCUCGAUGAGUAGGGCGGGACACGUGGUAUCCUGUCUGAAUAUGGGGGGACCAUCCUCCAAGGCUAAAUACUCCUGACUGACCGAUAGUGAACCAGUACCGUGAGGGAAAGGCGAAAAGAACCCCGGCGAGGGGAGUGAAAAAGAACCUGAAACCGUGUACGUACAAGCA